rnacentral:rRNA from 1 species
UAAUGCUUGGGAAUCUAGCUUAUGGAGGGGGAUAACUACGGGAAACUGUAGCUAAUACCGCGUAGAAUCGAGAGAUGAAAGUGUGGGACCUUCGGGCCACAUGCCAUAGGAUGAGCCCAAGUGGGAUUAGGCAGUUGGUGAGGUAAAGGCUCACCAAGCCGACGAUCUCUAGCUGGUCUGAGAGGAUGACCAGCCACACUGGGACUGAGACACGGCCCAG